rnacentral:hammerhead_ribozyme from 1 species
AUGCAGCUGAAGAGUCCCAAAUAGGACGAAACGCGCGAAUUUUAGAU